rnacentral:rRNA from 1 species
UACGAAGGGGGCUAGCGUUGCUCGGAAUGACUGGGCGUAAAGGGCGCGUAGGCGGUUUGAUCAGUUAGGUGUGAAAUUCCUGGGCUUAACCUGGGGGCUGCACUUAAUACGGUCAGACUUGAGUGUGAAAGAGGGUCGUGGAAUUCCCAGUGUAGAGGUGAAAUUCGUAGAUAUUGGGAAGAACACCGGUGGCGAAGGCGGCGACCUGGUUCAUUACUGACGCUGAGGCGCGAAAGCGUGGGGAGCAAACAGGAUUAGAAACCCUCGUAGUCC